GGCAGCGCGGCCGCCGGCCCUGGCCCGGUGAGGGAGCCCGGCCUGGGCUGCUCGUAGGGAGCCGGACCCGCGGGCCCGAGCUGCCGCCUCUGCAGCCGCCUGGGUAGAGGGUCCGUCAGCAACAACGGGGUAGUCGUACCUUCCUGUCGGGGUACCUGUCGAGGCCGAGAUUUACCUGUACUUUCACUGCUUGGCAGUUUGAGCUGUGCUCAUCUCCAGACACUGAGGUUGGUGCUGAAGCAGCAGAGACUUUGCUGAUGGCAAAGACAGAAGGGAAGUGUUUAAGCAUCAGGGGGAACUUAAACAAGCAGCAGGAAGAAUUGAGAAGCCAAGACAUCCUUAAGCUGCUGGCUGCCUGUUUGGGGCACCUCUGGGCCAUUGCUCAUCUGUGAAAUUUUGGCAGUGGAAAGGGAAGCCAAUAAGGACUUGAAUGGAUGUCAUACAGCCUCAUCCCAUCUUUAGCGCAGAUCCAGAACCUCAGAGACACCUACAGAGAACAGGUGGGACAAGAGCCUGCAGUGGCAGGAAAAACAAAGAUUUUGUUUGCAGAAAUAAAGCAAAUUACGAAAUGGGUGGUUUGUUUGCUUUUCUUUAAAUGGUACUGGUAAAAAAAUCUAAAAUCAAGAGAAAGGCUCUCAAAUUCAAAAAUAUCAGAGGCUGGCCCACAGUUUAGGGAAAGAAUUAACUUAAGGUCAGCUGUGU